GGCGACGUAGCCAAGUGGUAAGGCGGGGGUCUGCAAAACCUCUAUUCACCGGUUCGAAUCCGGUCGUCGCCUCCA
rnacentral:tRNA from 2 species